UAGCUCAGAUGGUAAAGCGUCUGCCUACAAUGUAGGAGACCUGGGUUCGAUUCCUGG
rnacentral:tRNA from 1 species